rnacentral:rRNA from 1 species
GAUGAACGCUAGCGGCAGGCCUAAUACAUGCAAGUCGAACGGAUCCUUCGGGAUUAGUGGCGGACGGGUGAGUAACACGUGGGAACGUGCCCUUUGGUUCGGAACAACUCAGGGAAACUUGGGCUAAUACCGGAUGUGCCCUUCGGGGGAAAGAUUUAUCGCCAUUGGAGCGGCCCGCGUCUGAUUAGCUAGUUGGUGAGGUAAAGGCUCACCAAGGCGACGAUCAGUAGCUGGUCUGAGAGGAUGAUCAGCCACAUUGGGACUGAAACACGGCCCAAACUCCUACGGGAGGCAGCAGUGGGGAAUCUUGCGCAAUGGGCGAAAGCCUGACGCAGCCAUGCCGCGUGAAUGAUGAAGGUCUUAGGAUUGUAAAAUUCUUUCACCGGGGACGAUAAUGACGGUACCCGGAGAAGAAGCCCCGGCUAACUUCGUGCCAGCAGCCGCGGUAAAAC